UGACAGAUUGAGAGCUCUUUCUUGAUUCGGUGGGUGGUGGUGCAUGGCCGUUCUUAGUUGGUGGAGCGAUUUGUCUGGUUAAUUCCGAUAACGAACGAGACUCUAGCCUGCUAAAUAGGUGACGGGUUUUAUCAAUUGAAACCGAAGGGAGUACGAAGGCGUCGGGAUCAGGUGGCGGCGGUUCGGGUUGUAGGGGGUCGUGUUCUUUAGCUCUUGUGCUUUCGCGGCGUUGGAUUCGUGGUUGGGGACGCGGUCGUGCGAUCCGGGGUUUCGGCUCCGUGGUUGUUCGGCUUAACUCUCUGGCUGCGGUCUGCGUCGCGAGGUGUUUGGGCGGGGGCUCGGUCGCUUGCUUCUCGGUCGUCGUCAUCCCCGGCGAUACCUUCUGCUCUCGCGUCCGUCACGCAGUCUUCUUAGAGGGACAAGCGGCGUCCAGCCGCGUGACAGUGAGCAAUAACAGGUCUGUGAUGCCCUUAGAUGUCCUGGGCCGCACGCGCGCUACACUGAAGGAAUCAGCGUGUUUCACUCUCCCUGUCCGAAAGGACCGGGUAACCGCUGAACCUCCUUCGUGGUUGGGAUUGGGGACUGCAAUG
rnacentral:rRNA from 1 species